GUGCCAGCCGCCGCGGUAAUACCGGCAGCUCAAGUGAUGUCCCAUAUUAUUGGGCCUAAAGCGUCCGUAGCUGGCCGACCAAAUCUCCCGGGAAAUCCACCCGCCCAACGGGUGGGCGUCCGGUAGAAACUGGCCGGCUUGGAACCGGAAGGCUCAGAGAGUACGUCCGGGGUAGGAGUGAAAUCCCGUAAUCCCGGACGGACUACCGAUGGCGAAAGCACUCUGAGAAGACGGCUUCGACAGUGAGGGACGAAAGCUCGGGUCUCAAACCGGAUUAGAUACCCGGGUAGUCC
rnacentral:rRNA from 1 species